GCCCAGCCCUAAACAAUCAACUUACAGCCUCAAACGCCUGGGAAUUACGAGCCACGCUUAAAACCCAAAGGAUUUGACGGUGUCCCAUCCACCUAGAGGAGCCCGUUCUAUAAUCGAUAAUCCCCGCUAUACCCAACCGCCCCUCGCUCAUCAGUCUGUAUACCUCCGUCGAAAGCUUACCAUGUGAACGACUAUAGUAAGCUCAAUGGCCCUCACCCCGUCAACACGUCAGGUCAAGGUGCAACUUACGGGGCGGAAAGUAAUUGGCUACAAUUUCUAACCUAGAACAAACGGAAGGCUGUGUGAAAUCACGGCUACAAGGCGGAUUUAGCAGUAAAAAGAAAGCAGAGUGUUCUUUUUAACACGGCUCUGGGACGCGUACACACCGCCCGUCACCCUCUUCGACAGUAUCAUACCUAAGUCCAUAACCCAUUUUUUUACACCUAGAAGAGGCAAGUCGUAACACGGUAAGUGUACUGGAAAGUGCACUUGGAAUACACAAAAUGUAGCUUAAUAAAGCCCCCCGCUUACACCGUGGAGUUAUCUGUUUAACCCAGAUCAUUUUGAGCCUUAAAUCUAGCCCACACAAUCCGAAUGAUACCCCUAAAUUACUGUAUGAGAUAAAACAUUUUAAUAUCUUAGUAUAGGCGAUAGAAAAAUUAAUAAGCGCUUCAGAUAAAGUACCGCAAGGGAAACAUGAAAUAGAAAUGAAACAACACUAUAGCCCUAAGCAGCAGAGAUGCCCCCUCG
rnacentral:rRNA from 1 species